AUUGAACGCUGGCGGAAUGCUUUACACAUGCAAGUCGAGCGGCAGCGCGGGGCAACCUGGCGGCGAGCGGCGAACGGGUGAGUAAUACAUCGGAACGUGCCCAAUCGUGGGGGAUAACGUAGCGAAAGCUACGCUAAUACCGCAUACGAUCUAUGGAUGAAAGCGGGGGAUCGCAAGACCUCGCGCGAUUGGAGCGGCCGAUAUCAGAUUAGGUAGUUGGUGGGGUAAAAGCCUACCAAGCCUUCGAUCUGUAGCUGGUCUGAGAGGACGACCAGCCACACUGGAACUGAGACACGGUCCAGACUCCUACGGGAGGCAGCAGUGGGGAAUUUUGGACAAUGGGCGCAAGCCUGAUCCAGCAAUGCCGCGUGCAGGAUGAAGGCCUUC
rnacentral:rRNA from 1 species